CUUUUCUGCAUCCACAAGGAGGAACUCAUCCGUAUGCCGAGACUAUGAUUAUACUCUAAAGGAAUCCAGAUUGUGCCCGCUCCACAUACUCAUGUUAGCAGGAAGUCCAGCAUAAAACUUUGAGAACUGUACCACCCCAAAUGUCCAGGUCUGAGAAGCUUACUUGGUCUCAAUUAAGUGGCCUGUCCUGCUUACAGAUGCCAGGCCAUGGGACUUGCCCACGAGUUGGCCUUGGUGUUUGGCUUCAUUGGUUCCUGUUGCUAAAACAGUGUUGCAUCUGAAGUUUGUCUCUCCUUGGUCCUGACUCCAACUCAGUUCAUGAAGGAUUUUAUACCUAAUUGGAAUUGCCAAGUUCAGCGAUAAUACACAUCUUCCACACUGCCAACUCUCUCUCCAGAGUCGUUGAACUACUUACUGAGCUACCAGCAGCAUGAGAAUUCCUCAUAUUCCACUGCAAAACUUGGUUAUAGCAGUCUUGAAAAAUACAUCAUACAACCUCUCCUUCCUCUUCUCUGGAUUGAUCUGGAUGGGAUAGGAGUGGUCUGACCUUUAAG